GAUGAACGCUGGCGGCGUGCCUAACACAUGCAAGUUGAGCGACGAACCAGGUCUUGCCCUGGGGCUAAUCAGCGAACGGGUGAGUAACACGUGGGUAACCUACCCCUAUAACCGGGACAACCCUAGGAAACUCGGGCUAGUACUGAUUCUCCUCACUGUACUGCGGUUCCGUGCGUUAAUUAUGCUUCGUCCUCCGUAUCGGGAGGGGCCUGCGGCCGAUUAGUUUGUUGGUGGGGUAACGGCUCACCAAGACCUCGAUACGUAGCUGGUCUGAGAGGACGAUCAGCCAAACUGGGCGUGAACCACGGCCCAGACCCCAACGGGAGGCAGCAGAGGAGAAUCUUGCACAAUGCGAGAAAGCGUGACCCAGCCACGCCGCGUCGGGGAAGAAGGCAUUGGGGUCGGAAACGCAUUCUACGAGGGACGAAGGCGCGGCGGUGAAUAGCCGACCGGGCUGACGGUACCUCAACAAGAAGCCCCGGCUAACUCCGUG
rnacentral:rRNA from 1 species